rnacentral:rRNA from 1 species
AGCUCCAAUAGCGUAUAUUUAAGUUGUUGCAGUUAAAAAGCUCGUAGUUGGAUUUCGGGUGGGUUGCAACGGUCCGGUUCGCUGUGUACUGUUGCGGCCUUCCUUUCUGCCGGGGACGGGCUCUUGGGCUUCAUUGUCUGGGAUCCGGAGUCGGCGAGGUUACUUUGAGUAAAUUAGAGUGUUCAAAGCAAGCUUACGCUCUGAAUACAUUAGCAUGGAAUAACACGAUAGGACUCUGGCCUAUCUUGUUGGUCUGUAGGACUGGAGUAAUGAUUAAGAGGGACGGUCGGGGGCAUUCGUAUUUCAUUGUCAGAGGUGAAAUUCUUGGAUUUAUGAAAGACGAACUUCUGCGAAAGCAUUUGCCAAGGAUGUUUUCA